rnacentral:rRNA from 1 species
UACGUAGGGUGCAAGCGUUAUCCGGAAUUAUUGGGCGUAAAGAGCGUGUAGGCGGCCAAACAGGUCCGUUGUGAAAACUGGAGGCUCAACUUCCAGACGUCGACGGAAACCGUGUGGCUAGAGUCCGGAAGAGGAGAGUGGAAUUCCUGGUGUAGCGGUGAAAUGCGCAGAUAUCAGGAAGAACACCAAUGGCGAAGGCAGCUCUCUGGGACGGUACUGACGCUGAGACGCGAAAGCGUGGGGAGCGAACAGG